rnacentral:tRNA from 1 species
UAGGCCAGUAGCUCAAUUGGUAGAGCACCGGUCUCCAAAACCGGGGGUUGGGGGUUCGAGACCCUCCUGGCCUGCCAU